rnacentral:rRNA from 1 species
UACGAAGGGGGCUAGCGUUGUUCGGAAUUACUGGGCGUAAAGCGCGCGCAGGCGGUCUUCCAAGUCAGUGGUGAAAGUCCGGAGCUCAACUCCGGAUCUGCCGUGCCGACUGUCAAACUCGAGGGCUGUAGAGGCAGACGGAAUUCCGGGUGUAGCGGUGGAAUGCGUAGAGAUCCGGAGGAAGACCGGUGGCGAAGGCGGUCUGCUGGGCAGUUUCUGACACUGAGGCGCGACAGCGUGGGGAGCAAACAGG